AGAGUUUGAUCAUGGCUCAGAAUCAACGCUGGCGGCGCGCUUAACACAUGCAAGUCGCACGAGAAAGGGAGCAAUCCUAAGUAAAGUGGCGUACGGGUGAGUAACACGUGGAUCAUCUACCUUCUGGUGGGGAAUACCCCCGGGAAACUGGGGACAAUUCCGCAUAAGCUCGUAAGAGGAAAGCAGCAAUGCGCCGGAAG
rnacentral:rRNA from 1 species